GAAAGCCGGAUGAGGUGAAAGUCUCACGUCCGGUUUGGGGAGAGGAAUGAAGAAACACAUAAACUGUAAGGUUUAGAGGUGCGCUUUGUUCCUACUCCAU
rnacentral:ncRNA from 1 species